GGCAAAUGCAGUGGUUGAAGUAGCUCCGGAAUCUAAGCUGGUCUUGACUCAUGCCUGAUGUGCCCCGGUUUCCAGAUGAAUCCCACACCAUAGGUUUGUCCUUCUGCCAUGCUGAAGAGCAUCCUGACUGUGGUGUCCCACAUCAUGACCAUCUAGCUCUUCCUCCCAACACAUGACUCACUGCUUCCUGAUUUUCUGCCCUGUUUAUUUUCCCUGUGAUAUACCACAGAGAGAACAUUGGUCCUUCUUUAUUACGAAGUUUUUAUCCUUACCCACUGGAUCUAGGCAUGGCCUAAAAUCUACUUCUUCUAGGAACACUUCUCUGACAAAUUCAGAGAAGUUGAAUCAGUUCUCAAUUUGUAUUGUCCUUAAAUUUGUACAUUUAGUUUAGAAAUUUUAUUAUACAUUUUUUUGAGACAAGGUAUUGCUAUAAAGGACAGGCUGGCCUUGAACUCGUGAUUUUCUUGCUCCAUCUUCCCAUGUGUUGGGAUCACAGGCAUAAGCUGUGAUGCUCCGAUUGAUUUUUGUUUUUGUUAUACUAUUUAUUUGUUUAUUAGACAGAGUAGCUCUGUAUAGCUCUGGCUUGCCUUGAAAUCAUAGAGGUUGGCCUGCCCCUGAGACCUUCCAAGUGCUUAGAUUAAAGAUAUUCACUGCCAUGACCAUCAAUGUUAUAAUUAUUCUCAAAGUUGUAUUUUUACCUUAUAUAUUUUAUUUCAAAUAAAAAAUAGAAUUAUAUUAGAUAUUUACUGUUACAUAGAGCAUUUUCUUUCUUUCCCCUCUCUCUUACACAUACACACACCCCAUCGACACUGAAUUUACAAAUUUUCAGGGUUCAGAAAUAUUGAAAAGGUGGAACUACAGGUUGUCUUUGUUGAAGAAAGAGUGAUCCCAUAGAGCACAAGAUUCCCAUACAUGGAACAAAGUUAAUUGGUUGUAGAAAAAAAUUAUGUUAGGCUGGCCUUGAAUCCCUCUGAUUAUUUGAAGUCUCCUGAGUGUUGGGGUGGCAGUGAUGUGCCAGCGUGGUAGACAUGUCUAAGGUGUCAUGCACCUGUGUCAAAUUCCCCCUCCCCCCCAAUACAAAAGGGUUGAUAGUAUGGGAUGGGUGAUGGGUGAAUACUCAAGGGUUGAUAGUGUGGGAUGGGUGAUGGGAUCAGACUGGAUGAAUACUAUGAAUUUUAACCUUGGGACUCAGCACAGAAAACCUCAGUUCGUUCUUGGUUCCAGAGUAAGUAAAAUAGAUUGAACCUGGUUUAGAGACAGGAACCAAUCAAACAACAAA
rnacentral:lncRNA from 1 species